UGACAUGAGUAGCGAUAAAGGGGGUGAAAGGCCCCCUCGCCGUAAGCCCAAGGUUUCCUACGCAACGUUCAUCGGCGUAGGGUGAGUCGGCCCCUAAGGCGAGGCAGAGAUGCGUAGCUGAUGGGAAGCAGGUUAAUAUUCCUGCACCGUCGUUAGAUGCGAUGGGGGGACGGAUCGCUGAAGGUUGUCCGGGUGUUGGAAGUCCCGGUCGCUGCAUUGGAGAAGGCACUCAGGCAAAUCCGGGUGCGCAAUUCAAGGGUGUGGCGCGAGCGGCUUAGGUCGCGAAGCAAUUGGAAGUGGUUCCAAGAAAAGCCUCUAAGCUUCAGUCUAACGAGACCGUACCGCAAACCGACACAGGUGGGCGAGAUGAGUAUUCUAAGGCGCUUGAGAGAACUCGGGAGAAGGAACUCGGCAAAUUGGUACCUAACUUCGGGAUAGGUACGCCCUUGUAGCUUGACUGGCCUGCGCCAGAAGGGUGAGAGGGUUGCAAUAAACUGGUGGCUGCGACUGUCUAAUAAAAACACAGCACUCUGCAAACACGAAAGUGGACGUAUAGGGUGUGACGCCUGCCCGGUGCCGGAAGAUUAAAUGAUGGGGUGCAAGCUCUUGAUUGAAGUCCCGGUAAACGGCGGCCGUAACCAUAACGUCCUAAGGUAGCGAAAUUCCUUGUCGGGUAAGUUCCGACCUGCACGAAUGGCGUAACGAUGGCCACACUGUCUCCUCCCGAGACUCAGCGAAGUUGAAGUGUUUGUGAUGAUGCAAUCUACCCGCGGCUAGACGGAAAGACCCCAUGAACCUUUACUGUAGCUUUGCAUUGGACUGUGAACCGAUCUGUGUAGGAUAGGUGGGAGGCUAUGAAAGCGGAACGCUAGUUUCGCUGGAGCCGUCCUUGAAAUACCACCCUGGUUUGUUUGCGGUUCUAACCUUGGCCCGUAAUCCGGGUCGGGGACAGUGCAUGGUAGGCAGUUUGACUGGGGCGGUCUCCUCCCAAAGUGUAACGGAGGAGUACGAAGGUACGCUAGGUACGGUCGGAAAUCGUGCUGAUAGUGCAAUGGCAUAAGCGUGCUUAACUGCGAGACCGACAAGUCGAGCAGGUGCGAAAGCAGGUCAUAGUGAUCCGGUGGUUCUGUAUGAAGGGCCAUCGCUCAACGGAUAAAAGGUACUCUGGGAUAACAGGCUGAUACCGCCCAAGAGUUCAUAUCGACGGCGGUGUUUGGCACCUCGAUGUCGGCUCAUCUCAUCCUGGGGCUGUAGCCGGUCCCAAGGGUAUGGCUGUUCGCCAUUUAAAGAGGUACGUGAGCUGGGUUUAAAACGUCGUGAGACAGUUUGGUCCCUAUCUGCCGUGGGCGUUGGAUAUUUGAAGGGGGCUGCUCCUAGUACGAGAGGACCGGAGUGGACGAACCUCUGGUGUACCGGUUGUCACGCCAGUGGCAUCGCCGGGUAGCUAUGUUCGGAAGAGAUAACCGCUGAAAGUAUCUAAGCGGGAAACUCGCCUUAAGAUGAUAUAUCCCUGGGGCUUCAAGCCCCUUGAAGGGUCGUUCGAGACCAGGACGUUGAUAGGUCAGGUGUGGAAGCGCAGUAAUGCGUUAAGCUAACUGAUACUAAUUGCCCGUAAGGCUCG
rnacentral:rRNA from 1 species